rnacentral:rRNA from 1 species
UGCAGUCGAGCGAAUGGAUUAAGAGCUUGCUCUUAUGAAGUUAGCGGCGGACGGGUGAGUAACACGUGGGUAACCUGCCCAUAAGACUGGGAUAACUCCGGGAAACCGGGGCUAAUACCGGAUAAUAUUUUGAACUGCAUGGUUCGAAAUUGAAAGGCGGCUUCGGCUGUCACUUAUGGAUGGACCCGCGUCGCAUUAGCUAGUUGGUGAGGUAACGGCUCACCAAGGCAACGAUGCGUAGCCGACCUGAGAGGGUGAUCGGCCACACUGGGACUGAGACACGGCCCAGACUCCUACGGGAGGCAGCAGUAGGGAAUCUUCCGCAAUGGACGAAAGUCUGACGGAGCAACGCCGCGUGAGUGAUGAAGGCUUUCGGGUCGUAAAACUCUGUUGUUAGGGAAGAACAAGUGCUAGUUGAAUAAGCUGGCACCUUGACGGUACCUAACCAGAAAGCCACGGCUAACUACGUGCCAGCAGCCGCGGUAAUACGUAGGUGGCAAGCGUUAUCCGGAAUUAUUGGGCGUAAAGCGCGCGCAGGUGGUUUCUUAAGUCUGAUGUGAAAGCCCACGGCUCAACCGUGGAGGGUCAUUGGAAACUGGGAGACUUGAGUGCAGAAGAGGAAAGUGGAAUUCCAUGUGUAGCGGUGAAAUGCGUAGAGAUAUGGAGGAACACCAGUGGCGAAGGCGACUUUCUGGUCUGUAACUGACACUGAGGCGCGAAAGC